rnacentral:rRNA from 1 species
AUGAACAUUGCUCACCUGACCCGCUGGCUUUGGCGUAUCGCCAAUGGGGAGGGAGGCCUCUGGCUUACCAUCAUCCAUAAUAAGUACCUUAGGGGCCAACCUCUUGCCUUCUGCCAGCGUUCGGGUGGAUCCCAGUUCUGGCAGUUGGUGAUCCAGCUUCUGACCGUCCUCCGCAUUGGCACGUCCAUCUCGGUUGACUCCGGGUCCUCGACCCUGUUCUGGUUCAACCGUUGGUUAGGGGACCCACUGGCUGCGCGAUUCCCAGAACUAUUCACCAUUGCGAUUGACCCUCGGAUCUUUGUCGAGACGACCCUUAUUGACUUAGGGCAUAUCGCUUUUCGGCGCCCCUUCGGCCCCAACGAGGUGGCUGCUUGGGAGUCCCUCCUCCAGGACAUCGCCCUUAUGCCGAUGGACGUCGAGGAGGCCCAGGAUUCCGUCUCCUGGCGCCUUGAGCCUUCUGGCCACUUCUCCACGAAGUCCUUGUACGCCGCCAUCGCUCCCUCGGCCUCCCUGGAGCCCUUUAGCCUAAUCUGGGACAUUCGCCUACCUCUAAAGAUCAGGAUUUUCUUGUGGCAAUGGAUCCGUGGACGCCUCCCCUCUGGGGUUGAAGUCCUCAAGCGUAACGGUCUGGGCAAUGGGAUGUGCCCC